GACGAACGCUGGCGGCGUGCUUAACACAUGCAAGUCGAACGGAAAGGCCCUGCUUUUGUGGGGUGCCCGAGUGGCGAACGGGUGAGUAACACGUGAGUAACCUGCCCUUGACUUUGGGAUAACUUCAGGAAACUGGGGCUAAUACCGGAUAGGAGCUCCUGCUGCAUGGUGGGGGGUGGAAAGUCUCGGCGGUUGGGGAUGGACUCGCGGCUUAUCAGCUUGUUGGUGGGGUAGUGGCUUACCAAGGCUUUGACGGGUAGCCGGCCUGAGAGGGUGACCGGCCACAUUGGGACUGAGAUACGGCCCAGACUCCUACGGGAGGCAGCAGUGGGGAAUAUUGCACAAUGGGCGGAAGCCUGAUGCAGCAACGCCGCGUGCGGGAUGACGGCCUUCGGGUUGUAAACCGCUUUCGCCUGUGACGAAGCGUGAGUGACGGUAAUGGGUAAAGAAGCACCGGCUAACUACGUG
rnacentral:rRNA from 1 species